rnacentral:rRNA from 1 species
GACGAACGCUGGCGGCGUGCCUAAUACAUGCAAGUUGAGCGCUGAAGGUUGGUACUUGUACCAACUGGAUGAGCAGCGAACGGGUGAGUAACGCGUGGGGAAUCUGCCUUUGAGCGGGGGACAACAUUUGGAAACGAAUGCUAAUACCGCAUAAAAACUUUAAACACAAGUUUUAAGUUUGAAAGAUGCAAUUGCAUCACUCAAAGAUGAUCCCGCGUUGUAUUAGCUAGUUGGUGAGGUAAAGGCUCACCAAGGCGAUGAUACAUAGCCGACCUGAGAGGGUGAUCGGCCACAUUGGGACUGAGACACGGCCCAAACUCCUACGGGAGGCAGCAGUAGAGAAUCUUCGGCAAUGGACGAAAGUCUGGCCGAGCAACGCCGCGUGAGUGAAGAAGGGUUUCGGAUCGUAAAACUCUGUUGGUAGAGAAGAACGUUGGUGAGAGUGGAAAGCUCAUCAAGUGACGGUAACUACACAGAAAGGGACGGCUAACUACGUG